AUUGAACGCUGGCGGCAGGCCUAACACAUGCAAGUCGAACGAGUGGCGGACGGGUGAGUAAUGUCUGGGAAACUGCCUGAUGGUGGGGGAUAACUACUGGAAACGGUAGCUAAUACCGCAUAGCAUCAGAUGGGCCCAGAUGGGCUUAGCUUGUUGGUGGGGAAACGGCUCACCAAGGCGACGAUCCCUAGCUGGUCUGAGAGGAUGACCAGCAGCACUGGAGGGGAGAACGGGUCCAGAGUCCUACGUGAGGCAGCAGUGGGGAAUAUUGCACAAUGGGGGCAAGCCUGAUGCAGCGAUGCCGCGUGUAUGAAGGAGGCCUUCGGGUUGUAAAGUACGUUCAGCGGGUAGGCGUUAGCCGCAGAAGAAGCACCGGCUAACUCCGUGCCAGCAGCCGCGGUAAUUC
rnacentral:rRNA from 1 species